rnacentral:piRNA from 1 species
GCCUAUGUGGCGUCAGCGGGACUG